rnacentral:lncRNA from 1 species
CCUGGACGGCCUCUCCCGCCACGGCAAUGCCUCUCGACGACGGGUCGGCCAUCUCUUCCGUGGCUUGGUCCUCGACCCCCGACGGGACGAUGCUACUGAGGUCCAGCUCCGGGUACAGGGCUUGGACUGCAUCCCGACCAUCCUCGUACCCCACCCGGUAUGAUGCGAAGCCGGACUCCAAUAGUUCCUCUCGGUACCGGUCGG